AGCACUUUGAGAUAUCAGCUGAUGUACGACGGGCUAUAUAAAUACAUUUGAUUUGAUUUGUAUGUGUCUGUGAAACCUCUGUGUGACUUGUAUGUGUGAAAGCCAUUUCCUCUGCUCCUGCGAGAGAUAAAACAUUUGUAAUCACAAAAGGAAGAUAUUGGUGUAACUGCUUUACGUGUGAAUGUGAGGAUACGUUAUUUUUUCCAUGUUUGUCAAUGAAGCUAAACAAGUUGCUGGAUCAAACGAAAGACAAUUAAUAACAUUGCCCAAAUCUCUAACAAGCCCUUUGCUUUGACAGACACAGUAGUCCUUCUAGAAGGCGUUCGGCAUCAAGACGUCCCAGAUGGAAUUGUUUGAGGAUGUUGCCAAGUCCCUCGUUGAUGACCUCAUUCACAGCAAGAACGCCGUAAGAGAAGGUCAGAGGGCAGCCCUGCCCAGGGGGACAACCGUACGGAGGGACACUGGACAGACGUGGAGACCAGGGUAAGAGAAGGUCAUCAGAGGGCAGCCCGGCCCAGGGGGACGACCAUACGGAGGGACACUGGACAGACGUGGAGACCAGGGUAAGAGAAGGUCAUCAGAGGGCAGCCCGGCCCAGGGGGACGACCGUACGGAGGGACACUGGACAGACGUGGAGACCAGGGUAAGAGAAGGUCAUCAGAGGGCAGCCCUGCCCAGGGGGACGACCGUACGGAGGGACACUGGACAGACGUGGAGACCAGGGGAGUUUUCAAGACCGCGCAAUCCCAUCUCGUACCAGGCUGUCAUCAUAACCAUUCUAGAAGCUUCCACAUUGUGUGUUCCAGAUGAGGGCUGGAUGGAUCCAGGGUCCAGGCUACCAGCACCGUGGAUAUCAGAGGCGCAGAAAGCCCUGAGAUGGUCCAGUCCUGUGCUGUCUGGGCUGCUCCAUACACCUCAUCCCCUCCCUCCUCAACCCUCACCCCCUUCCCUCCUUA